GCAGUGGUGGUUCCAUGGUAGAAUUCUCCGCUUCCACGCAGGCGACCUGGGUUUGAUUCCCAGCCGAUGCA
rnacentral:tRNA from 1 species